rnacentral:lncRNA from 1 species
ACCACUAUUCCGAUAACCUUGAAUUUGGGCCAUUACAAAGAUAGUGGAAUUAUUCACUGAGCUAAACUUUGUAGACGUAGGGAAAUUGAAUUGUGUAAACAAAACUUGAUGUACUUAAUGUUUUUGUUUGCACAAUUUUAGCCGUGUUAAGCCGUAGUGGCCACUGCAGUCUAGCACUUCUAGUGUAGUUUUCCUUUUUUAGCAAACAAACAACUUAAGAUAACAACAGAGUUAGUG